rnacentral:rRNA from 1 species
GAUGAACGCUGGCGGCGUGCCUAAUACAUGCAAGUCGUACGGAAAGGCCCUUCGGGGUACUCGAGUGGCGGACGGCUGAGUAACGCGUGGGAACGUGCCCCAAAGCGAGGGAUAACGCACCGAAAGGUGUGCUAAUACCGCAUAUGGUCUUCGGAUUAAAGCUUCGGCGCUGUGGGAGCGGCCCGCGUACGAUUAGAUAGUUGGCGAGGUAAUGGCUCACCAAGUCGACGAUCGUUAGCCGGUCUGAGAGGAUGAUCAGCCAGACUGGGACUGAGACACGGCCCAGACUCCUACGGGAGGCAGCAGUAAGGAAUCUUCCACAAUGGGGGCAACCCUGAUGGAGCAACGCCGCGUGCAGGAUGAAGGUUUUCGGAUCGUAAACUGCUUUUAUAAGUGAAGAAUAUGACGGUAACUUAUGAAUAAGGAUCGGCUAACUACGUGCCAGCCGCCGCCGUAA